rnacentral:lncRNA from 1 species
GCAUGUGUGACUACAUGUGUGCUGUGUGCAUAUGAAUGUGUGGUGCGUGUGUAUGCAUGUGGGGCCUGUGUGUAUGUAUGUGGGGCAUGUGUGUGUAAUGUGUGUGUAUGCAUGUGUGCCAUGUGCGUUCUGGUUAGGAGUCUGUCUCUGGAAGGCGACAGAAGGACAAUAAGAUGCAUUUUCACUCCAGGCUGGCAGGUCCUGGUGGGGACUGGGCUGAGAGGACUGAAAUGACACAGCCUUGCCUUGCUCCCAGGCCCCACAGAGGCAUCCUUUCAGAAAUGGCAAGCGCCGCCCCUCAGGAUGGGGAGUGUACUGAGGCGGAGGUAUUAUGACGCAUUGCCCAGGAACUGAUUACAGCCUUUCUGAAAAUAUCAGAACAAACCAAAGUACUUUUUUUCUCUCACUCAACAACAAUCAACACAGAAGACUUCUGUGACCAAAUGUGUGGGUUUUCUCCCCACCACAAGCAAGAAGGCAGUUCUACAUCGGACAAUUCCAACAUCGACACCUUCUACCUGGAGGUGGCCUCACACCCCACAAGCCCAAGCCUCAUGUCCCAAGCCUGCCCUCCACUUCCAAUGCCAAUGGCAAGGUGGUCUUACCUGUGCUUCUGACCCACUGGCGUUCCCACGAAUCAAUGUUCCCAGGACGCCUCCUAACACUUGAAUAAUUCGCUAGAGCAGCUCACAGAGCUCAGGGAAAGGCCUACUUACAUUUACUAUAAAGGAUGUUACAGAGGAGAGAGACACAGAGAUGCCUGGGGCAAGACAUAUGAGGAGGGCGAGAAGCUUCCAUGCCCUCCUGGGGCUGUCGAACUAAAACGAAGAAGCUGAAAGUUUUGCUCCAAAUGCCAUUGUUUAUCCAUUUUUGACCACCUGAUCUGUUCCAUUAGCUUCAAAAGAUGCCUUUUCAUUUGUUUCGUUUUGCCUUCGAUGGCCUUCCGCCUGCCGCAAGCAACCCUCUAGAAUAUGGGCCUGUGCUUGGCUUUUCUACACAAACAUGAGCAGCCUUCAAUUACUGGGGGACAUUCAUUUCCUCCUUCCAACUAGAGAGCGAGGAGUGUCCCGGGGAGAGUGGGUCCUUGAGCUCCUCUGGGCCUUGCUUGGGACUUGGUCCAGGAGGUUAUGGGAAGAAACUGGUUUAGAAGCUGACCUCAUGGGUUCGCUAUUCUUAUGUAACACUUAGGAAGAGCAGAGACCCACGCGAUUCAGUCCCAGAGCAAUGUUGCGGUCAAGAGAACACAGUCCAGCUACCAACAGUUAUUUCAAAAUAAUUCAAGCUCUUUGUUUAUAUUUCUGAAAGAAAGAAAGAAAAAAAAAGGGUGGCCCAGCUGGAAACUCGGCUUUAAGUCCCCUUUCAGGGGGCCCUCAGGUGGGCAC